CAGGCUUUUUUUCUGUCUCAUUUACUGAAUAUUCAGUUUGAAACUCUGAGUAUAAUUUAAUCGAGAAAUGUUUGAGCAUUUCUAAGUGUCUAAAUGUUUUCUAAGCAUUCAUUGACCAAACAAAGCUUAUUUUCCCCUUUAUAACAAGAUGAUCCCAAACUGGAUGACUGAAAUAAGAGCUCACAUGAGGCACUUAGUGGCUGCACCACUUUUAGGCAGCCCAGUGUAAGAGCUGAGUGAGAACACAGAACUCCUGCAGAAAUCAUCCCCUAUGUGAGAUGCUCCCAUCAAGGCUUGGAGAGAAAUAAAGGCCCAAGGCCAAGUCAGUCCUGAUCCAGAGGGAUCCAGAAGCCCAGAGUGAGGGUCUCUGUGAGGCUGAUGGGACCAGCUGAUCAGAGGCUGUGUCCUGUGUCCUGUGUCCUGGGCUGGGCACAGCCAUGUCCAGCUGGCUGCUGUGGCUGCUGGGGCGACCCUUUGUGACAGAGGCACAUUCCUUUGUGACACAGGGGCCGUGCUGUGCCCAGAGGCCACCAUGACCUCUGGGAGAGGUUUGGGGCACAGAGCCCUGGUGUGCACUGCCCAAGGGCACCUUUCUCAGGAGGCAGCAGCUGCCUGAGAGCCUCUGCAGGAAAGCAUGACAGAGACACCCAAGGGGGAGAAGAUGGACUUCAAACAGCCGCAGGUGGACCAUGGGCAGCCACAGAACGAGAAGCGCUGCCCAAAAGCUCCUCCUGAGGCACAAAAGGCAGCAAAGGCAGCAGCCCAGGUCGAGCAGGUGUCCUCAGCAGGGGCACAGAGCCAUGUCCCACUCCUGCAGAGCCCCUGCUCUGCCCCAGGCCCCUCAUCUGCCCAGGGAGCAGCACAGACCCUCAGCAGGCAGCGAGCGCUGCUGGCAGCACCAGAGCUCAGGGAGGGGGCCUGGGCCAACGAGGAGGGAAAGAGGGAAGUCUUCCAUCCCCUGCAGCCAUGCCCAGGGGAAGACCACAUGGAACAAGAGCUCUCCCAAGGGGAAGUCAGUGGAAUCCUGAACCUGCCCCAAGGGGGAAACGACAGCAGAAACGACAGCAGCAAAACAUCACUGCAUGAAAACUGGAGACGCAUCACAAUCCAGACUAUCUGGGUCAACCCCAAGUACCCAGAGCUCUUCCAGGACACCCUCCAGGAGGAGACAAAGAAAGAAACUCCUUCCUCAGACGAGCAGGUGCCAGCAGCAGGGGCACAGAGCCCUGCCCCAGACAGCCCCUGCUGCUCUCCCUGUUCCUCACGGACCCAGCUGGCAGCCCAGACCCUCAGCAACCUGCAGAGUGUCCACAGGCUGCCCUCCAGCCCCAGGCAGGCUCUGCAGGCUCUGUGCAUCCUGCUCUGGUGCUCCUGCAUGGAGUUGCAGCUGAAUGAUUAG
rnacentral:lncRNA from 1 species